rnacentral:rRNA from 1 species
AUUGAACGCUGGCGGCGUGCCUAACACAUGCAAGUCGAGCGGUAACAGGUGUAGCAAUACAUGCUGACGAGCGGCGAACGGGUGAGUAAUGCUUUGGAAUCUUCCCAGUAGUGGGGAAUAACCAGUCGAAAGAUUGGCUAAUACCGCAUACGUCUGUAAAGGGAAAGCGGGGACGUCGCCUCUUCUUCGGUAAGAGAGGCCGUCGCGCUAUUGGUAGUGAG